AACCUGGUUGAUCCUGCCAGUAGUCAUAUGCUUGUCUCAAAGAUUAAGCCAUGCAUGUCUCAGUACUUGCCGACCUAAGGCGAAACCGCGAAUGGCUCAUUAAAUCAGUCAUGAUUCAUUGGAUGUUGUAAAAUCCCUACUCGGAUAACUGUGGUAAUUCUAGAGCUAAUACGUGCAACUAAAGCUCCGACCCCGGAAGGGAGCGAUUCCUUUCGGGGGAAGGGCGCAUUUAUUAGACCAAAAACCGGGUGGCUUCGACGCUCGCGUCGAUGUCCUCCAAACACGGUUUCGUGGUGACUCUGAAUAACUACGGCCGAGCGCUAAGGUCUCCGUACCGGCGCCGUAUCCUUCAAGUGUCUGCCUUAUCAGCUCUCGAUUGUAGGUUAUUCGCCUACAAUGGCUGUAACGGGUAACGGGGAAUCAGGGUUCGAUUCCGGAGAGGGAGCCUGAGAGACGGCUACCACAUCUAAGGAAGGCAGCAGGCACGCAAAUUACCCAAUCUCGGCUCGAGGAGGUAGUGACGAAAAAUAACGAUGCGGGACUCUUCCGAGGCCUCGCAAUCGGAAUGAGUUCAAUUUAAAAACUUGGACGAGGAUCCAUUGGAGGGCAAGUCUGGUGCCAGCAGCCGCGGUAAUUCCAGCUCCAAUAGCGUAUAUUAAAGUUGCUGCGGUUAAAAAGCUCGUAGUUGGAUUUCUGAUGCGAACCGGGAGCCCACCCAAGGCUCGCCCUCGUUUUCGGACGGGCGGCGUCUGUCGGGGGGCGGCGUCUCCCGCGUUCUCCGUCGGCGGCCGUUCGGCGAAGGGAUCGUCGCUGCGCUCUCUUUCCUCCUAAUCCAAAAAGGGGAAAGGGGCGAGGACGAGUGUGGUCGGUCGGUCAGUCGGUCGAAGGGGGACCAGGAAGGUCGGAAGAACGGCGGACUUCGGUAGCGGGCGCGGGGUUGACGGAGGCGUGCGCGAGCGCUGGCAUACUAGCGCGUCGUCGUCACGUUUCUCUUCCCUCUCGCUCGUGAAAAAGGCUUCGUUCUCUUCGAUCCUUCGUCGCCUCUCUCUCGAUGGCUCUCGAGUUGUAGCGCAGAAAGAGCGGCGUAAAUAGCGACAAAGAAGGGUAGUGGUCUUCCUUCCCCCGCCUUAGGGGCGGCGGGAAAAGCGGAAUCCACUCGAUGGGAACUGGGAAAGGAGCUCGACGACGUCGACGAUCCGGGAAAAAAAGCGAAACUCUCCGCCUCUCUUCCGAGGGGGAUGGCUUUCUUCCGCGGAGGUUCGGUCGGUCGGUCGGUCGCCUCUCCCCGCGCGCCCUCUCUUCCCCCGUAAAAAAAUUCGUUCGCGAACUUUACGGUCUCGCGCGCAAAUCAAACUAACUCCGACACGCUUACGCCGAGGUUGAAAGAUACCUUUCGGGUCGGCGUCUGUCGGGGUGCGCGAGAUUCGGGGGUCGCUGAAGCGAACGGGGGAAACGACGGCCGCGGGUGCCUUAAAGCGAUUCGACUCGUCCUCCUCCUCCCGCGGGGUAGCCUCCUACCGCUACGAAGGUCGAGUGGCCGGGGUUUUUCGCGGUGGUGAGUAGGUCGUUCGAGCUCUCCCUCCCUUCCGCAUUCGAGGCUUUCCGUCUUACUCGUCGUAAGGGGGAUGCGGAACCCACUAUAACCUCGCGCUAUUAUUAUGCCGCUUUUUAUCUGAAGCCAAACGCUUCGGCGAGAGAGUCAUUCGAGGAGGGCGUUCGAAAGGUUUCGGGGAGGCGGAGUCGGGCGAAAGAGGGGAGAAGAAACCUCUGACGGCGUCGCUUUUAUCGGGCGUUCGUCGUCGUCGUCGCUUCUCCCUUCGCGUUCGGGUAUCCGCCCCGCUCGUCUCUUCCCGUCCUUUCCUCCCCUUCGCUACUGCCGACGCACGCUCGCGAUUAUUCCUUUCGCCGACGCGGGUAGAUCCCGUCGAUCGGAGGGCGUCGGGGGUUCAAAAAAGCGUCGCUUUUCCCACCCGGNUUCGCUCCGAACCCGAUGGCGGGCGAGCGAGCCCGGUGGUUCACUCCUCGCGUUCGCAUUCGAUACAAAGCCGUCGGCUCUCACGGGGUGCUCUUCACCGAGUGUCCCGCGUGGCCGACAAGUUCACUUUGAAAAAAUUAGAGUGCUCAAAGCAGGCUAAAAUACUUACGCCUGAAUGGUAGUGCAUGGAAUGAUGGAACAGGACCUCGGUUCUGCCUUUUUCAGCCCGGUUUUUCUGAACCGAGGUAAUGAUUAACGGGAACAGACGGGGGCAUUAGUAUUGCGACGCUAGAGGUGAAAUUCUUGGACCGUCGCAAGACUAACUACUGCGAAAGCAUUUGCCAAGAAUGUUUUCAUUAAUCAAGAACGAAAGUUAGAGGAUCGAAGGCGAUCAGAUACCGCCCUAGUUCUAACCAUAAACGAUGCUAACUGGCGAUCCGUCGGCGUCAUUCCCACGACUCGGCGGGGAGCCCCCGGGAAACCAAAGUUUUUGAGUUCCGGGGGAAGUAUGGUUGCAAAGCUGAAACUUAAAGGAAUUGACGGAAGGGCACCACCAGGAGUGGAGCCUGCGGCUUAAUUUGACUCAACACGGGGAACCUCACCAGGCCCAGACACCGGAAGGAUUGACAGAUUGAGAGCUCUUUCUCGAUUCGGUGGGUGGUGGUGCAUGGCCGUUCUUAGUUGGUGGAGCGAUCUGUCUGGUUGAUUCCGAUAACGAACGAGACUCUAGCCUGCUAACUAGUCGGCGGAUCGACUCCCGAGACGGGUUUCCUUCCGCGAGGGCUAAGGGCGGGGGUCGCUCGGUGGGGGGCUCGUCGUUCUCUCGCGUCCUCGGUGUCGCGGCUCGGCGUCCGAGGGGAGAAGAGGGAGGGCGUUCGGCGAGACUGGGAAUGCGAAGAGUAGGGAGUGGUGUGGCGGGGCGAUUCCGUCGUCCCGUCCGUCCCCCUAUUCUUUCUUUCCUUUCUCGUUCGUCGUCCUUUUUUCUCCUUCCUCUCGUCGUCGUCGCGUCCGCGCCCCGAGUUCGCGGAGUCGGCGGUCAAGUCCCUUCGAGUCCCCGUUCCUCCUCGCGCGUCGGAGCUCAACGAGGGGCGUCCGUCGUAAUAUCUUCUUAGAGGGAUCGGCGGCGUCCAGCCGCAAGAGAGAGAGCAAUAACAGGUCUGUGAUGCCCUUAGAUGUCCUGGGCCGCACGCGCGCUACAAUGUAAGGAUCAACGUGCUUUCCCCCUCCGAAAGGAGCGGGUAACCCGUUGAAACCCUUACUCGAUUGGGAUUGGGGAUUGUAAGUGUUUCCCAUGAACGAGGAAUUCCCAGUAAGCGCAAGUCAUCAGCUUGCGCUGAUUACGUCCCUGCCCUUUGUACACACCGCCCGUCGCUACUACCGAUUGAAUGAUUCAGUGAGGGCAUCGGACUGGCGCCUUCGGUAGCCGUCGUCACGCACUUCAACCUCGCUUCGGCGGGGGCGGUCUCCGGCACCCUAGGCUGACGGAAAGAUGUCCGAACUUGAUCAUUUAGAGGAAGUAAAAGUCGUAACAAGGUUUCCGUAGGUGAACUGCGGAAGGAUCA
rnacentral:rRNA from 1 species